UGAGGAAUAUUGGACAAUGGGCGAAAGCCUGAUCCAGCAAUACCGCGUGAGUGAAGAAGGCCUUCGGGUUGUAAAGCUCUUUCAGCAGGGAAAAUAAUGAUGGUACCUGCAAAAGAAGUUCCGGCUAACUCCGUGCCAGCAGCCGCGGUAAUACGGAGGGAACUAGCGUUGUUCGGAUUUACUGGGCGUAAAGAGCGCGUAGGCGGUUUAUUAAGUUAGAAGUGAAAGCCCAGGGCUUAACCCUGGAACUGCUUCUAAAACUGGUAGACUAGAGUACGGGAGAGGAUAGUGGAAUUCCUAGUGUAGAGGUGAAAUUCUUAGAUAUUAGGAGGAACACCGGUGGCGAAAGCGACUAUCUGGAACGUUACUGACGCUGAGGCGCGAAAGCGUGGGGAGCAAACAGG
rnacentral:rRNA from 1 species